rnacentral:rRNA from 1 species
GACGAACUGUGCGAACGUUGUUCGGAAUCACUGGGCUUAAAGGGUGCGUAGGCGGCUUGUUAAGUCGGGGGUGAAAUACUUCGGCUCAACCGGAGAAUUGCCUUCGAUACUGGCGAGCUGGAGGAAGGUAGGGGUCGCGGGAACUGCCAGUGGAGCGGUGAAAUGCGUUGAUAUUGGCAGGAACGCCGGUGGUGAAGACGCGCGGCUGGACUUUUUCUGACGCUGAUGCACGAAAGCCAGGGGAGCAAACGGG